rnacentral:rRNA from 1 species
GUGGGGAAUAUUGGACAAUGGGCGAAAGCCUGAUCCAGCCAUGCCGCGUGUGUGAAGAAGGUCUUCGGAUUGUAAAGCACUUUAAGUUGGGAGGAAGGGCAGUAAGUUAAUACCUUGCUGUUUUGACGUUACCGACAGAAUAAGCACCGGCUAACUUCGUGCCAGCAGCCGCGGUAAUACGAAGGGUGCAAGCGUUAAUCGGAAUUACUGGGCGUAAAGCGCGCGUAGGUGGUUUUGUAAGUUGGAGGUGAAAUCCCCGGGCUCAACCUGGGAACUGCCUCCAAAACUGCAUGACUAGAGUACGGUAGAGGGUAGUGGAAUUUCCUGUGUAGCGAUGAAAUGCGUAGAUAUAGGAAGGAACACCAGUGGCGAAGGCGACUACCUGGACUGAUACUGACACUGAGGUGCGAAAGCGUGGGGAGCAAACAGGAUUAGAUACCCGAGUAGUCC